UUCGGAAUCUUGAGAGCGGCGCACGGGUGCGGAACACGUGUGCAACCUGCCUUUAUCUGGGGGAUAGCCUUUCGAAAGGAAGAUUAAUACCCCAUAAUAUAUUGAGUGGCAUCACUUGAUAUUGAAAACUCCGGUGGAUAGAGAUGGGCACGCGCAAGAUUAGAUAGUUGGUGAGGUAACGGCUCACCAAGUCAAUGAUCUUUAGGGGGCCUGAGAGGGUGAUCCCCCACACUGGUACUGAGACACGGACCAGACUCCUACGGGAGGCAGCAGUGAGGAAUAUUGGACAAUGGGUGAGAGCCUGAUCCAGCCAUCCCGCGUGAAGGACGACUGCCCUAUGGGUUGUAAACUUCUUUUAUACUGGGAUAAACCUACCCUCGUGAGGGUAGCUGAAGGUACAGUAUGAAUAAGCACCGGCUAACUCCGUGCCAGCAGCCGCGGUAAUACGGAGGGUGCAAGCGUUAUCCGGAUUUAUUGGGUUUAAAGGGUCCGUAGGCGGACUCGUAAGUCAGUGGUGAAAUCUCAUAGCUUAACUAUGAAACUGCCAUUGAUACUGCGGGUCUUGAGUAAAGUAGAAGUGGCUGGAAUAAGUAGUGUAGCGGUGAAAUGCAUAGAUAUUACUUAGAACACCAAUUGCGAAGGCAGGUCACUAUGUUUUAACUGACGCUGAUGGACGAAAGCGUGGGGAGCGAACAGGAUUAGAUACCCUGGUAGUCCACGCCGUAAACGAUGCUAACUCGUUUUUGGGUUUUCGGAUUCAGAGACUAAGCGAAAGUGAUAAGUUAGCCACCUGGGGAGUACGUUCGCAAGAAUGAAACUCAAAGGAAUUGACGGGGGCCCGCACAAGCGGUGGAUUAUGUGGUUUAAUUCGAUGAUACGCGAGGAACCUUACCAAGGCUUAAAUGGGAAUUGACAGGUUUAGAAAUAGAUCCUUCUUCGGACAAUUUUCAAGGUGCUGCAUGGUUGUCGUCAGCUCGUGCCGUGAGGUGUUAGGUUAAGUCCUGCAACGAGCGCAACCCCUGUCACUAGUUGCCAUCAUUCAGUUGGGGACUCUAGUGAGACUGCCUACGCAAGUAGAGAGGAAGGUGGGGAUGACGUCAAAUCAUCACGGCCCUUACGCCUUGGGCCACACACGUAAUACAAUGGCCGGUACAGAGGGCAGCUACUAUGCGAAUAGAUGCGAAUCUCGAAAGCCGGUCUCAGUUCGGAUUGGAGUCUGCAACUCGACUC
rnacentral:rRNA from 1 species